GGCCACCCUGUCUUUUGGACUAUUUGUAGAGAGAGAGAGAGAGAGAGAGAGAGGUCUCGUAUCGUCUCCUCCUCCUCUAAACCCUAGAUCGUGAUCUGCAAUUCAAUCAAUCAAUCAAUCAAUCUCGAUUGACAUAUUAAUGGCGAAGCUUGAACCUCUGGAGGAACCGAGUCAGAAGCAGAAGCAGAAGACGAAGACGAAGAGGAAUCAUGGAUCUACCAAGUUCUUCGUAUUCGUAGACUACCUCUUCCUACUCAUAUUUAUCUGUUUCCUCUGCUUCAUACUCUUCAAAAUGAUCGGCAUUUGAUUAUUUCCUUGAGGAUUGGAUGUAUAAGCAGCAGAUUGGGACUAGCUGUAGAAUUGGAGACCUCUAUGUGGUGGAGAGCUCGCAUCUACCAAUGAUUACUUCUCCGACUGCCUUUUCCUCUUUUCAAUUAGAUUUUUUGUCAAGUCUUUUCUAUUUGUGGUAUUCUAGAUUAGGGCAUUUGUCCGCUGACCGCUUACGGUGUUUAGCUCAGUCCGAUAUAUUGGGUAAAGUUUCUCUUAGUCAACUUAACGAGAGUCAAGGCUGUAAACUUGCCAAAAUGACAGUCUUACUGAUGUCUGGGGUCCUUCUCCUGUUCUCACUGAAGAGUGUUCUACAUACUAUGUGUCAUUUGUUGAUGACUGCACUCGUUAUACUUGGAUUUAUCUCAUGACUCAUAAGUAUGACUUUUACCAGAUAUACCGUACUUUUCAGUCUAUGGUCACUACACAAUUUGGAUCUACUAUUAAAUUAUUACGGUUUGACUUGGGUGGGAAUAUUUUAAAAUUAAGUUUUGUGAGUAUUUGGCCAAUUUAGGUACCAUUCACCAGACUUUCUGUACUGAUACAACUGCCCAAAAUGGUCGCGCUAAACGUAAACAUCGUCAUCUCCUUGAGAUAGUUAGGUCUCUCCUUCUCUCUGUUUCUGUUUCGGCUUCGUUUUGGGGUGAGGUAAUUCUUAUUUCUACUUUUCUUUUCCAUCGUAUGCCUACUUUCCUUUUCUCUGGUUGGUCUCCUUAUGAGGCUCUAUUUUCUCAAUUUUCCAAUUACUCCAUCAUUUGUGUGUUUGGGUCUACUUGUUUUAUCUUUUUACCCUGUAAAGAUAAGACCAAACUAUUAUGACCCUGUUUUUCGUCGCCUAUAUGUCUCCCACCAUGUUGCCUUUCUUGAACGUCUACCUUACUUUCAACUUCCUCCUCUCACAGUCCUAGUUUCCAAAGAGGAUUUGGUUCAUAUUGAUUCAUUUCCUUCUAAGGUCCCUCUUGAUAAGUACAUUUUACUUGUUCCCCAUGAGCUUGUUCUGUCUUCUCUUUGUCCCAUCCCACCUGAUGAGUCCCUUUCCCCUGACCCCCAUGAGUCUAUUUCCUCUUCUCUUCCUCGUCUUUCCCCACCUGCACCUACUCUUUCUCCUCCUCCUCCUCCUACUCCUUAUCCUCUUCCGUUGUUAGUCUAUGCUCAUCGCACGACUCUUUUUCCACCACAUUGUCUCUACCCUUGCUGUUGAUCCCCUUACUUCUAGCGACUCUUAUCUUGCUAACUGUAAGUAUCCUCUUCGUAUCCGUAAAUAAAUAAUCAAAUUUGAUUUUGCUAAAGCAUGUUUUUAUCCUUCAUACUGCACUUUUUUGUCUGCUAUUCACUCUUUUUCAGAAUACCAGUCUUACAAGGAUGCUUUUCAGGGUUCUAAUUGGGUACGAGCUAUGGAGGAUGAACUGUCUGUUUUGCAGAAGACUACUACUUGGGAGUUAGUUCCGUUGCCUACCGGCAAAAAUCUUGUUGGUUGCAAAUGGGUCUAUAAAGUCGAGACUCACUCUAAUGGUUCUCUUGAGCGCUACAAAGCUCGCUUGGUUGCCAAAGGUUUCUCUCAGGAGUAUGGUAUUGAUUAUGAGGAGACCUUUGUCCCUGUUGCCAAGAUGACUACAGUUCAUAUUUUGAUUUUUGUUGCUAUUAGAUAGAUGUUAAGAAUGUCUUUCUUAAUGGCCAUCUUAUUGAGGCGGUUUACAUGCGUUUUCUCCCUGGCCUUCACUAUUCUUUUGGAUAGGUUUGUCAUCUUUGGUGUGCUCUGUAUGGUCUGAAGCAAUCUCCUCAUAUUUGGUAUGAUCGCUUUCAGACUGCUGUUACUGAGUUUGGGUUUCAUCCUUUUGCCCAGGACUCUGCUUUGUUUCUUCUCCACACCUCUAUUGGUUUUGUUGCCUUAUUACUGUAUGCGGAUGAUAUGAUUAUUACUGGCUUUGAUUCUUCUGCUAUCUCUAAGGUCAAGCAGCAUCUCUUCUGCACCUUCGAAAUGAAGAAUUUAGGCCCAUUGCGGUAUUUUAUUAGUCUUCAGGUGGCUUUUUCUCCCAAUGAUUACUUUCUAUCUCAGGCCAAGUAUGCUAAUGAAGUUAUUCACCGUGCCGGUCUUAUUGACACUAAGAUUGCUGAUACCUCCAUUGAGCUUAAUGUGAAACUUAACACUACUUAUGGUGUUCCUCUGCCUGAUCUUACUUUAUAUCAAGAGUUCAUGCGUUGUUUUGUCUAUCUGAUAGUUAGUCAGUUCGUUUCUGCUCCUUAUUCUACACAUUGGACUGCUUUGGUUCGAAUUCUUCACUAUUUUCGCGGUACUAUUUUCCAAGGAUUGCUGUUGUCAUUUACUUCUUCCUUGGCUUUAGUAGCCUAAGCUGAUGCUGAUUGGGCUAGUAAUGUUACAGAUCGUAAGUCCACUUCUGAUUUUUGUAUGUUUUUUUGGUGAUUCCUUGAUUUCUUGGAAAAGCAAGAAACAAACUGUUGUUUCCCAUUCUACUGCCGAAGCUGAGUACCAUGCUAUGGCUCAUGCUACUGCUGAAGUUGUCUGGCUUCAUUGUCUUCUCUCUAACUUGGCCGUCCCUCAGCCUUUUCUGACCUCCCUCUAUUGUGAUAAUUGUAGUGCUAUUCAGAUUGUCCAUAACAUUGUCUUCCAUGAGUGAACAAAGCACGUUUAGAUUGAUUGUCACUUUGUUCGUAAGCAUUUGCAAUCUGGCUUUAUGUUGCUUCCUUUCGUCUCUUUGGCUCUGCAACUUGCUGACUUCUUUACGAAGACUCACACCAUUGCUCGGUUUCAGUUUUUUCUUGGCAAACUCUCAGUGUUUUAUGCUAAAACACCUUGAGUUUGAGCGUGGAUGUGAGAAUAUUAGAGUAGGUUUAUAUAUAUGGUAGUGUAUAUUGUCUAUAUAUAUGGCAUUGUUUCCUUUUCCUAUAUGAGAGUGUUUCCUUUCCUUAAUUUUAGGGCUAGGAUUACUAUAUAAUCAGAUGUAUUCUUUGUAUUAUGACACAAUUGAAUAUACAGUUUCAUUCAUAAAACUUACAUCUUGUACAAACAAGAAGCCAAUGACUUUGCGAAUAGCUUCGCAGCUGUAAUGAGUUUGAGAUUCUCUCUAUAUAAAGGAUAGACUGUUAAAUUUUUGUAAUUGGCAAUCACAUUUAACAAAACUCCUUUUAAUAGUAAUUUUAUUCACUAUUUUGUUUCGGUGAGGUUAUGAGAGUGUUUAGUUAGUGAGUCUAUAAGAGUGUUUAGAUGCGAAUCUAACCUGAAUUAUGUUUUUGUUUGCCACUUCGCCGACUAUGUACUGGGAUCGAGCUUGCGGAGGUCCAGGGGGCAGCACCCUAUGGUGUGUUCAGGGCAACGCCCACGUAGGGUCGAGGGGCAUCGCCACCGAAGCCAAAGUUGUUUGACCGCUCAAGCGGUCAUUUGUGCGCUCGAGAGGUGAAUAGGAGCACUCAGUAUCUCUGCUUGCAAACUGAACUUUUGGGAAACAAGUUUUAUUGCUCUAGCGGUGAAAGUUGCGUUCGAGUGGUCGGCCUACAUGUUUUGCAUCGCUUUUACUAACACCGCUUGAGAUGGUGAAGUGUGCGCUCGAGCGAUAUUCGCGAUUCAGUUUACUAUAAAGUACGCAGUUUGCUGUUUUUAGGGUUUAAAUCGUCUAGAAUCUUAGAGAGAAAGAAAAGACAAAGUGUUUUCUAUCGGAGGCUGUUUUGUAUAAGUUUACUUGGUGUAUAAAAGGUGAUUGAUUGAUCAACGAACUACAGAUUGUCAAACAUCAAGGGUUGUUCAACAUCAAGGGUUGUUCUUAUUAUUUUGUUCACAAAAGAGGUGUUUUUCCGUGGAUUCCGGAAAACUUGGGCUUGAAGCUUUGGUGGAUUUCGGAGUGGCUCAUUGUCGUGGAUUCAAUAUCAGCAUUGUGGAUUCAACGUUGGGUAAGACAAUUCCGAGAUAAAGAUGGUGGUGGAAGAGGCACAUCUGGGUCGGUUCAAUUUGGACAUGGAUUAGUUAGGUAAUUAAGGGUAUACUUGUGUAAUUCUUUUUUAUUUUCUUAGUAAAUUGUUUUGUGGUUUUUGCCUGUGGUAUUUUAUCACAAUUGGAGGUGCUCCACUUGUGAUUUUUUUCACGUUAAAUCAUUGUGUCGAUUUGUUUUUGAUUGUUUGAUUGUGAUUAUUUUUCAUUGUUUGAAAUUGAAACAUAAUUGCAAAUAAAUAUCUUGGAGAUUUUAGAUC